CUGAAAUGCCUUUAACAGCUAAGGCACCUCUAUCACUUCCCUCAACGGUGACACAUCUGGUGUGCUACAGAGGACUGUCACAAUGUGGUGUUUGGUAUCCCAGGAUGCCAGAGAAUCCACUAGCCAUGAUCAAAGCUAGACAUGCUUCUAACUAACACAAGCAUAGGAUAAGAUUGUCCUUGCCUUAUGUGGCAUAAGUCACCCCCAACAUGGUGAGGAGAGCAGCGUCUACUGGACAGAACGCUUACACAUGGAUCCUGCAGUGAGCAGACCCCUGCACCUAUGAAGAUCCAUGCUGACAUCAAGACAGGAACUUCAUGCACUUUGAGGUGAACCCAGUAUCUGCUUUGCAGUCCUUCCCGGAACAGCAUCCUGUGGUCAAGGAAGCCAAAGCCCUCUUGGUGACAUCAUCCUUGCAGCCAGGACUUCAUCUCUAGGAUGUUUCUGUCUCUGCCUGGGCCCCUACCCUUGACAUGAAGGAUCAAAGAGAAGUCUGAAGAAUGAAACGUUGAACACCUUGUGUCCCCCAAGAUGAACCCACACAACUAUGCCAGCUGUUCACUAGCUGCAGGACAUGAUUUGGAGAUGCAUCUCUUGGAAGAAAUGAGGAUAACAAAAGGUUUUCCUAUAGUGAGGAUAAUAAACCAAGGUAACUAAGGUAGUGUUCAGCUGAACAAUUAAGUUGCUGCUUGUUAUAAUUAGUUUCAGUUGUAGUGGAUU